rnacentral:lncRNA from 1 species
ACGUUGCCUACUCCCUGACUGCACACGUGGUGACGAAGAAAAGCAAAGAAAACGGAAGAUGGCGCCUCCAUGUUGAACAUGCCUGGCUCCCAGGAGAGGAUGGUGUGGAGAACUGAAAUUCCGCUAAGAACACCUUAGGAUUCCCUAUAGGAGAGAAGAAACAGUGACCUAGGACGGCAAUGAAACACAUUGAUCCUACCUUUGGAAUAUGGAUAGAAGAAGAAAAGUGGAUCAAAAGUGGAUUUUAGUUGUAAAUUCAGCCAUGACAGAAAUACCAUGAAUCCACUGAAUGCAUCCUUCAUCUAUAUCAAUAACACAUACAGUGUGAGCUGUCAAAUUAUGGCCAGAAGUGUGUAUAUGAAUACAAAAGUUAAUUUUUAAGUGACUAGCCUUAAGAGUUUUAGUCCGAGAAUGUGCAUAAUUAAAAACAAUGAGUAUUUUUAUCAGAAUAAUCUGAAAAAAAUUCUUAGAAUCAUUAUGAUAAAACCAGUCUCAUUUGUUUAAUGUCCUACAGCAUCACAAAUUGUCAUAUAACAUCAUAAUAAGGUUAACAAAAAAUAAAAUAUCAUUAAAGAAACAA